rnacentral:rRNA from 1 species
AACGCUGGCGGAAUGCUUUACACAUGCAAGUCGAGCGGCAGCGCGGGGGCAACCCUGGCGGCGAGCGGCGAACGGGUGAGUAAUACAUCGGAACGUACCCAGUAGUGGGGGAUAACACAUCGAAAGAUGUGCUAAUACCGCAUACGACCUGAGGGUGAAAGGGGGGGAUCGCAAGACCUCUCGCUAUUGGAGCGGCCGAUGUCGGAUUAGCUAGUUGGUGGGGUAAAGGCCUACCAAGGCGACGAUCCGUAGCUGGUCUGAGAGGAUGAUCAGCCACACUGGGACUGAGACACGGCCCAGACUCCUACGGGAGGCAGCAGUGGGGAAUUUUGGACAAUGGGGGCAACCCUGAUCCAGCCAUUCCGCGUGAGUGAAGAAGGCCUUCGGGUUGUAAAGCUCUUUCGGCAGGAACGAAACGGUGGGUCCUAAUACGAUCUGCUAAUGACGGUACCUGAAGAAGAAGCACCGGCUAACUACGUGCCAGCAGCCGCGGUAAUACGUAGGGUGCGAGCGUUAAUCGGAAUUACUGGGCGUAAAGCGUGCGCAGGCGGUUUUGUAAGACAGAUGUGAAAUCCCCGGGCUUAACCUGGGAACUGCGUUUGUGACUGCAAGACUCGAGUGUGGCAGAGGGGGGUGGAAUUCCACGUGUAGCAGUGAAAUGCGUAUAGAUGUGGAGGAACACCGAUGGCGAAGGCAGCCCCCUGGGUCAACACUGACGCUCAUGC